GAAACAAUUAUGUGAACUUAGCAUGUUUCCUAAAAACCUGCAAACAUAUGGUAUUUGUAUGCUUUAGUACAGUCAAACAAAUUACAUACAGCACCUUUUAAAUUAAAUUUUUCACUAAAUCA